AAUUAGAGAGAUUUUUUUUUAACAAAAUUUAAAUUUAAAAAUUUUUUAAUAACUGAGAUGAAGAAACAGAAGUGAGACAUGAAAUUUAGAAAAGGGCUAUAGAAUUACCCGAAAAUUAAACACCAAAAUUCUUUUGAUAAUUAACUACGAGAAUCAACAUACAAAUAAGAAGUUGAGAGAUCAACUGUUCUGCCUUGGCCCCAAAAUUUAAUUAAAAAAAAAUGCACAGGUCAAUUAUAUGAACUGAAAGAAAGGGUUACUCCUUUUGCCUAAAAAGACACACUAUUAUAAAGUGAUGAUCAGCUUCAAAUAGUGUUAAGAAACAGCUUAAUAAUCCCCAAAAAGAGAGAGACAUGAUAUCCUAAUAGCAUUUAAAUAGGACACUAUACUCUAAACAUACCAGUCUUUUCCCCAUAUAUGAAAAUUUAGAGACCUUAGCACUUCAUGAACCCUGCCAGAAAUUUUGCCCAAAAACUACUGAAUCAUGUAAAUACAGAUUCCUGCAAUGGCUCCAAGGAAAAAAAAGACCGUACAUCUAAAGGGAAAGAUAAUAAGAUAUUCGGAUAUGAAUUUGAGGUUUCCCCCCAAUCACAGAAGUCACACGUAACCCCAAGCAACGGCAUUCCAUUAGCUAAGAUAGUCUAAGUAUACCAUUGAGAAUGCACGACAAACUCCAAUUAUUUCCCUUCUUUUUACAUUCCCAGUAUCAAUAAUUCACUAGUUCAAUGGGCCUUUGCACUCCCAAGUGUGAGCUCAAGAUCAUCAACCCCUAUCUCGUGAAUCCUCUCACCCUCCCAUGGCUUCACCCUGCCAUUCUCAAAUUCAAAUUCUGACCCUCUCCCCCUCUCUGCUGCUGCCCCCCAGCCUAAUCCUCCAUGCCCAUCAACUCUAUCCUGAAAACCACUCUGCUGGGCCACUGAUUUGACAAGAUUAAAUGUUGGUGAUGGAGGAGCUACCUGGGCAGCAACUCCCUGAAAAUUCGCCCAGCGGCCAGAGUCCACAGUAGAGGCAUCAGACUCAUCACAUUCUGGUAUUGUUGCUGGUGUAAGAUGCUGGCGCCGUGUAGGACUUGAAGGGGCAGAAACAGCAAAAAGGGGAUGGCCAAAUGAGUUUAAGGAGCCAUGUGAAAAGGAUUCCCAGUCAGCUUUCCUCUUUGAACUUCUGGAAGUGGGGGAAGAAAGGGGAGGUGUUACAGGAGCACUAUUGGAUAUUCUAAGAGGAGGAAGGCUCGUGGGGAUUGAAGCUAUGUUGCGGAGGAAUGGAAGAAGGUAUGUGGAGGGGUUGCCAUCAUACCGAGUGGGACUUGGGAAUGAGGAUGAUGUUGGACUGGCAUGGUAGGAAGGUACAGGACUUGGAAAAUUUGAGGAUUGUGGGCUAGGUUGAACAGAGGAACAUGCACUGAUGUUUGUUGAAGUGCCCGCUAUCUCUAGUGGGGGUGGCUUGCAGCCCUGUGACAAAAGACUUCAAGAGUUAAUAAUCAGUUUUGGGGUGAUAAUAUAAAAUUGCGUGACAAAAACAUCAUAUGAGAUUGAAUGUGCGAGAAUUUUACAUAUUUCUUAGGUCUAUCCACAGAGGUGAAGAAAUUGUUGGUUUGUUUAUUGAUCAUAAUGAAAAAUUGAAGCAAACAAAAGGGUGUUUGAUUUCUAGGAGAAUUAAUACCAACGGAGAAAUGAAUCUAUUGAUGAGAAGAAACCCAAAAAUCACAAGAAAUAGAAAUCAACUACACAGCCAAAACAAGGCAAAAGAGAGGAAAAAAACAAAUAAGACUUGAUCGAAAGAGGGCUGGAAACUCUACCGUUAUCUGCUCUCAAGAUUUACUUAAUCAAAGCCCAAAAAUUCAACAGAUCAAACAUUUGUAUAUAUAAAACCACAGCCCCGAAAUCAUUGGAAUCUAGAAAAAAUUGAGAACAGAGAAUUCCCCAAAUCCGGACAAAUAAGAACAACAUAAAUUCCAGAUGAAGACAAGGCGAACCAAGAAGAGAAAGCGAAGGUCAAGAUCGAUAGAAAUUAAACCUUUCUCAAUUUAUAAAACAAAAUCUGUAAACCAUGCAUGUAGAUCUAUGAGACAAAUUGAAGGAGAAAAAAAAAACAAAUUAAAAAGAAA
rnacentral:misc_RNA from 1 species